rnacentral:rRNA from 1 species
CCUACGGGAGGUAGCAGUGAGGAAUAUUGGUCAAUGGGCGGAAGCCUGAACCAGCCAAGUAGCGUGCGGGAUGAAGCCCCUACGCGUCGUAAACCGCUUUUGCACGGGGAUAACACCCUCCACCUGUGGAGGUCUGCAGGUACCGCGCGAAUAAGGGCCGGCAAAUUCCGUGCCAGCAGCCGCGGUAAUACGGAGGAUGCGAGCGUUAUCCGGAUUCAUGGGGGUUAAAGGGCGCGCAGGCGGAGGCCGAAGUCAGCGGGCAAAUUGCGGGGCUAAACCCCGUACUGCCGUUGGAACUUCGUCGCUUGAGUGCGCGAGGAGUAUGCGGAAUGCGUGGUGUAGCGGUGAAAUGCGUAGAUAUCACGAAGAACUCCGAUUGCGAAGGCAGCAUACCGGCGCGCAACUGACGCUCAUGCACGAAAGCGUGGGUAUCGAACAGGAUUAGAUACCCUAGUAGUC